GGGCUCAUGAGGGUGGCUGUUGAGUCUUAGAGAGAAAGUUCAUUGGGAAUGGAAUAUUAGCAUGAACAAGGACAGAAGCAAUGUCCUAACCAUCCUCUAGACACUUGGUUCUAAAGCCAUUUCUGCUCUGUAACCUCCCAAUUGGAUGUGCACAUGAAUUAUGUUUUUUUUUUAAAUUAAUGAGUGAAAAUUCAUUCAUGAUCACUUAAAAUUGAAUAUGUUUAGUAAAAAUUGGAAAGCACAGAAAGAAGGUUUGAGAAGGGCCUUAUGAAACUUCAAGGUCUUGUAGACCUAGUCACAGAAAAUCAUGUGGAUUGAAAAUGAGAAUGCUAUGACUGAUGGUGAUUUUACUGCCUGAAUGGUACAUCUCAGCUGCUUACUCUUAGCUUAUAAAGACAAAAAUAUGGCAAACCAGAUUUCUUGUAUACUAAAAAAGUUUCAGUAAGGCUACUGAGUGAUAAUCACCCUAUUUUGUAGAAAAUACCCUCUAAUUUAUGAGACAGUUUUCAAAUGACCUGACAAUGACCAUCAUCACUGACCUAACCUGUAUAGUCACAUGCUCUCAAUGGGUCCUCAGAAGAGAAGUCCAAGCUAAAAAAAUUUCACAUACACCACAAGAAUUACUAAUAAGCUUAGUUGAUGCAUGCCAGGAUAAUUUUAGUUAAAAGCCUCUAGCAUUCUGCAACAUCUGUGAUCCUGACAGUUUGGCUAAGGAAUUAUUGGCCUGCCAAUAUCAGCAAACUUCGGAAUGUCUUUUCAGAAGAAAAAGAUGAAAGAAAAAGGGAGUGAUUGGAAGAGUUGGAAGUAAUAUCAACAGCAAAGCUUGGAGCAGAGAAAAGAAGCAAAUUUUCAGCUUAGCUUCCCAGGCAGAAGAGUGAGAGAAGACAAACUGGGAGAUAUACGAACACUUUGGGGAGAGAUCAGAAAGAGACAUGAGCAGGACUAAUGAAGAAGAGUGAGAAAAGGACAUUAGAAAGAAGCCCAAAGAUGAGAUGCGAGAUUGGAAGCAAAGAUUGGUUAAAGCUAUCAUUUUAGCUCCCUCUGCUGGUGGUGAAUGAUGUUUUUGGAAGAAGACAGAAGCGUGCAAAUGUUUCUGAAAGACAGGGUUGAAACACGUUUGGUUUUGCCGCUAUAUUUCCAUUGGUU
rnacentral:lncRNA from 1 species